CAAAUUUGAUUGAGCCAGAUUAUUAUAAUUAUAAUUAUAAUUGUAAUAUCUUAUAAUUAUAACGACGUAUAACAAUUUUACAAAGUUAAUUCAGUUUUUCUCCAUAUAAUUAAGGGUAAUAUUAGAUAGAUGUCGAGGAACCGUUAUCCCCGUGAUGUACACGAAACAAGGCAUGGUUAUCCGCCGGUAGGGCCGCCACACGAAACACGGCAUGGUUAUCCGCCGGUAGGUCCACCUUCUCGUGGCCUGAUAGCUCGUCCUAUGCCACCUCAUCCUGCUAUAUUAGAGGAAGAACUAGAAAUGCAGCAUCAUGAAAUCCGGAGGCUGUUGAGUGAAAAUAGGAAGUUAGUUGAAGACCGAGUUGCUCUGCAACGAGAAUUAGGUGCUGCAAGGGAAGAACUAAGACGGAUGAAUAAUGCGGUAGGUGAUAUUCAAGUGGAAACUGAAAGGAGUUCGAGGCAGCUUAUUGAAAAGGGUUUGAAACUAGAAGCUGAUCUUCGUGCUAGCGAGCCUUUGAAAAAGGAGGCUGCGCAACUUCAUUCAGAAGUCAAGAGAUUAAGCUCCAUAAGGCACGAUCUUACUGGGAAGGUCCAAAUGCUGAAAAAAGAACUUGCAAAAUUGCAAAUAGAUAACGACCAACUUCCCGGUUUGAGAGUAGAGCACGAGAAAGUACUUCAGGAGCUUAUGCAUGCCAGAGAUGCUAUUGAUUAUGAGAAGAAAGGAGGUAUAGAACUGAUGGAACAAAGACAAGCAAUGGAGAAGAACUUGGUUUCUAUGGCCCGAGAAGUGGAGAAGCUCCGUGCAGAACUUACAAAUACGGAUGUUGGACCUUGGAUUGCUGGUGGUUCAUAUGGGAUGCAAUUUGGCAGUUCAGAUGGUCGUUUUUCUUCUUAUCGCGAUGGAUAUGACACUCAUCUGGUGAACAUGGUUCUGGGUGCUGAAAAUACAUUUAUAUCGGUUUUGGGAGUGGUAGCAUGAUUUAUGCAUGAAGUACAAAUAGAUAAAAUUGUAAGAGGCAUACUAGAUGGAACAGGAUGCAAGUUGAUCAGCUAGACGCUAAUACGAAGUUUGUUUAAUAGAAGUUGAGGUUAUAAUAUGUGCAACAAUCGUCAUUGUUGUCCCUUUUCUCACCCAAAGAUCUCUUUACUUGAGACUGGAAACAAUCCGUCAAUCAGGCUUGCCUUUUCUAACAGCUGUUGGGCGUGAAUGUUGAUUUUCCCAAGUACGGAGCAUGUUGUCUUCAUGGUGAUUGUUAUUGUUGAGUUGAUUGAAUGAGCACAAAGAACGCGUAAGGUUUUCCAGUUGGAUUUAUGCACUGCAAAGGUUAAACAAUCAGCAAGUUAUCAUACACUCAUCCAUGGACAAAAAGCUUGUUGGGUCAACCUAACCCAGCCCAUAUAGACAAUUCUCAUAUGAACCAACACAAAAUCAUAACAAAUUCACAAACUAUCAUUAAUACGAGAUUUAGUUAGCAAGAUGAUACAUACAUUAAGUAGAAAUGGCGGGGAAUAAGGCGUAGCAUGGAAGAUGGUAACUUCAAGUGUUCCAUGAAGAAUGUUUGUAUUUCCGUCCAUUGUUUGAUAUGAACUAAUUGCUUACCAUACAAUCACACUAUAUAGAAAUUUGUGUGUACAUAUGUUAUCGUGGUGCUGCAAGAAACUUCGAAAGCAAAACAUACAUUUUUGAGUAGUGCUGCGGCUAUAGGAAACUUGUAGCAGCAUAGAGUUUAAAUCUUAAAGGCAACCUUCAAGUCUAGUACGUUAGCUUUUUCUUCAAGUAUUGAUUCUUGUGUUUCAUUCAAA